ACUAUAAAAAGGGGUUCUUUUUAAACAACCAAAGGAGUUACAGCUAAUAGAUCAUUUCUCACGCCUCUCUUCCUCCUUUCCAUGCCUCCUCUCUCUUCUAUCUCUGAUAUCUAUCCCUCUUCCAUGUUCAAGGGUGUUGGAUAAGCCAUCUGGUGGGUUUAAGGUGUCGAAUGCCAUAAGUUCUAUGUGAAGAGUCGAAAAGGCUGCCAUCAGGGGCU
rnacentral:lncRNA from 1 species